rnacentral:rRNA from 1 species
CCUACGGGCGGCAGCAGUGGGGAAUAUUGCACAAUGGGGGAAACCCUGAUGCAGCGACGCCGCGUGAGUGAAGAAGUAUUUCGGUAUGUAAAGCUCUAUCAGCAGGGAAGAAAAUGACGGUACCUGACUAAGAAGCCCCGGCUAACUACGUGCCAGCAGCCGCGGUAAUACGUAGGGGGCAAGCGUUAUCCGGAUUUACUGGGUGUAAAGGGAGCGUAGACGGUAGCGCAAGUCUGGAGUGAAAGGCCGGGGCUUAACCCCCGAACUGCUUUGGAAACUGUGCAGCUAGAGUGCAGGAGAGGUAAGUGGAAUUCCUAGUGUAGCGGUGAAAUGCGUAGAUAUUAGGAGGAACACCAGUGGCGAAGGCGGCUUACUGGACUGUAACUGACGUUGAGGCUCGAAAGCGUGGGGAGCAAACAGGAUUAGAUACCCCUGUAGUC